UUUCUGUGUCUGGCUUACGUCACGCGGCAUAACGUCCUCCAGCUUGAGCCAUGCUGUUUUUGCUUUUCAGUCUUGUACCCACCACCUUUCCUUCUCUCUGCCAGUUGGAUAUUUUCAGUGCGUCUGUGUUUGUGAGCAUGCACAGGCACCUCUGUGGUUUGCCUUUGCCUCAGUUCUCUGACCUUUCGCAGGCGCUCCUGUGGGGAGCGUGCUUUGCUGAGUCUGCAUGUUUACAGGCGGUCCUCAAACUGAUCGCCAGAGGAAGCCAGGCUUCCUGGGGUCCUGAAUCAGCAGAGCAGGAAGGAAAUAAAAAGGCCACAGAACUGUCGAAGAGGAAGAAGACAACUUGAGGGCAGAAUCUGUACCUCUAGGGACAGGUCUGAGAAAAAGAAACCGUGUGAUGCCUUGGAGUCCCAUCAUCCGCGAAUAGAGGCAGAGGCUCCAGAGCAAGGCUCCAGCGAUGCUGUUUCUUCCAAUCAAACGACCUUGGAUUCCACAUUCAUAACCAAGUACUUGGCAACCGGCCCUCUCAUAUGUUGCGAAACAAAAAUGUGUUGCCUUCAGUGUGUUUUUAAUAGGCCAAGCAGUUUAUUUGAUCACAGUGCUUGGGUCUAGACUCAGAGACACCAGAACUUUCCCACUGUGUUGUCACUGCUUUGGUUAGUAUCUUGGUUUCCCUUUGUCUUUCUAAAGAACCAUUUGGGGACUGGGAGAGUGAUUUCCUGGGAGUAGCUACAGGCCCUUGACCACGACCUAAACUCUUCCAAGGAAUUCGCAUCCAGGCUUGCAAAAUAUUUUGCAAAACUUGCAAAAAUUCACCAGUUCUAGAUUUUGAAAUUACUGGCACAGGCAAGCGUCUACAAUCGUGAAAUUCUCAUGAGUGGGGUAGAGCAAAUUUCUAUAAACAAAGUAAACUCCAAUCUCUGCAGCCCUUUGUGGAAAUAUUUAUGCCCCGCGAAAAGGGUCCCUUUCAGCUCUAGGAUGCUAUAAUAUAAACAUUUACUAUAAAUGAAGUGCUUUGUGAAAACACCCAUUCCCUCGGAAAGCUUCUAGUACCUAAUUUUACCUAAACACCUCUUUUUGCUCCAUAGGUUUGGCGGAAAGGUAAAUAUCCCUUGUGAUUCUCCGGACAAGAGAGGAGCCAAAUGUAUAGUGGAUGUAAGUCCGUUUUAUUAAGGGGCCUGAAAGUAUAAACAACAACCAAAAAAACCUUGCAGACCCACGAGCCUUGUGACCAGCUUUCGUGGAACUCAGCGGUCCUCCUCAGAGCCACAACCAGAGGCCCUCCCAUAACAGUGAACCCCGGUGUCCCAGAAGACAGCAGCAGGGCCAAGGGUUGAUUUAUCAGCCGUUAUUCAAAUCCCCACUUGUAGACAGCUGGAUUUCUUUUCAGCGCAGCCUAAUUAUUUUUUGCUGGCCCUUGUAUUCACGUCCGCUCGCCUGAUUUACUUGAAUAAAGGCUUGUGUGAAGUGAAGAGUCUCCAACCAAAUGACCAUUGGAAGUAGAUAGUGGUUCAGUGCACCGGACAAAGCGGUGCUUCCUGGAACUCUCCUUCCAGACGGGUCAAAAGCCAUAGCCCCGGAGACCAAGGAGCCAGCCUCAGGCCGACGGGAACAGCUGAACUUUCUCCCCUGCUAUUCCCGACCUCUCUCCCUUGCUUGGCGCAUCUCGUGCUUUCUUGCCUGCCUCUUUCCUUUUCCUGUUUUCCUUCUCUCCCCUUCCUCCCUUAGCAGCCGCAGUCUUACUCAUACCACACCUCUUAACCAGACGUCUUACUGUCCUCCAUCCUACUUUCCGGGGCACCUUUGGACUUGUUCCUGUUUUCUUCUCCUCUUUCCAAACAUCUCCUGUCUCCACGUACGGGGCCCAGGCCACCCCCACCCAAAUCUAGUGUCUUGUAUGCCACCAGUCCCGAUACUGUCCCCGGAGUCAGAGUUGUUAAAUUGUCCUUGGUGAUUACUUCCUUCUGGCUUUGGAAUGCAGGCUUGUCACACACCCCAAUAGCCAUUUUUCUUCUCCUCCACUUUUGGACGGAACAUGGCUGCCCAGACUGCAAUUCACAGCCUCUCUUGCAGCCAGAAGUUGCCCUGAACAAAGAGGUGACCCCAGAACUGCCAUGUGGAGUGCCUAGCAAACGUCCUUAAAGGGUAACGUGAAGCACCCUUCUUUGCUCCUUCCUAGUUCCUACCAACUAGAAUAUGAGUGUUGUCUGGAGGUUCAGUAGCCAGCUUAGAUCAUGAGGCUGCUCUCCGAGCCACAGAGCAGUAAGACCGGGGCGGGGUCUCUGGUCUCUUGAUUAGAAGGCCUCCGUACCAGCCCUGGACUGACUGCCAAGUUCUGUUACUGGAGGAAGAAGCUAACCUUCCAUCACAUUUAAGGCACAAUUGUCUUUGAAAGAUAGAUGUAGCCAAAUGUACAUUCUAACAUGGAAUGUAUAAAAUCAUAUGGCACAUAAAUCAAAUUUGCUGAGACCCAUGCCCAAGGUUGGGCCUUGCAAAGAGAACAGACAUAAAGGAAAGAAAUUCUAAUUACUCAAAACCCUGGUGACCAUCUUUUCAUAGGUUUACCAGAUUCCCUCAGUGCCACAAAUGAUGAGCAAUAAUAUAGCCUUUCGGUCCAGAGGCAGAAGAUAUUUUAAUGUUCUGGAACUUUGGGGGGGAUGGAGAGGCGACUGCAGUCUUAGCCACAAAUUGCAAGAAGACCACAAGGAAGGGGGCUGCCUGGGUAGCUCAGCCCAUUGGGCAUCCGACUUCGGCUCAGGUCAUGAUCUCGCGGUUCAUGAGUUCGAGCCCCGCGUCGGACUCUGUGCUAACAGCUCUGUUUAGCCUGUUUCGGAUUCUGCCUCUCCCUCUCUCUCUGUCCCUUCCCCGCUCAUGCUCUGUCUCUCUCUUCCUCAAAAAAUAAACAUUUAAAAAUUAAAAAAAAAAAAAAGAAUACUCUAAGGAGGGGCUUAGUCAGCAGAGCCUGUGACUCUUGAACUCAGGGUCUUGAGUUUAAGCUCCGCGUUGGGUGUGCAGUCUACUUGAUAAAUAAAUAAAUAAAUAAAUAAAUAUUAAAAUAAAAAAAGAAUAGUACAAGCAGUUCCCAUACAAUCUUUACCCACAUUCCUCAAAUACUAACAUUAAAAAAAAAGUUACCCUUUUACUUCAUUCACUUUAUCACUCUCUGUUACACAAUUUUUUUUUUCCUGAAACAUUUGAGAGUAAGUUACAGACACACUGGCCCUUCACCAAGAAAUACCUUAAGCAUGUUUCCUAAAAAUAAGGGCUUAUGUGACACCAUAACCACAGUAACAUUAUCCAAAUCAGAAAAUCAGCCCUCAUGUAAUGCUAUUACCUAACCAAUAGACUUCUCUUAGUUUUUACCGGUUGCCCAGAUCGAGUCCUUUGCUACAAAAGAUAAUCCCAAAUCACAUGUUGCAGUCUCUCGUGUGUCUCUCUAUCCCUCUUCAAUCUGGAAAAAUGUGUCUUACCCCGUCUUUCAUAGUCUUGACAUUUUUUGGAGAGUUGGUUAUUAUGUAAAAUGUCCCUCAGUUUGGGUACAUCCAAUGCUUUUCUUAUGAUUAGAUUCAGUUUGUGAAUUGGGGGCCAGAAUACUCCAGAACUAAUGCUCUGUUGAUUCUCAGUGCAUCCACCCUAUCAGGAGGCAUAUGGCACCAAUUUCUCCUGUUACUGGUGAUGUUAACCUUGACCAUUGGUUAGCUUUGUGUCUGCCAGGUUUGGCCACUGCAAGGUUAUUGUUUUCUCUUUGAAAAAUUAAUAGGUAUCUUGUGGAGAGAUACUCGGAGACUGUGGAAAUAUCCUGCUAAUCCUCUAGCUUUUACCCACUAAUUUUAGCAUCCAUUGAUGAUUCUUGUGUGAAUCAAUUAUUACUCUACUGGUUGCCCAAUAAUGAUUUUACUUACUAUCAUUAUUAUUUUUUAAUGCUGAUUUAUUUUUGAGAGAGGGAGCGGGGUAGGGACAGAGAGAAAGGGAGACACAGAAUCUGAAGCAGGCUUCAGGCUCUGAGCUGUCAGCCCAGAGCCCAACACAGGGCUCAGACUCGUUAACCGUGAAAUCAUGACCUAAGCUGAAGUCAGACGCUUAACCGACUGAGCCACCCAGGCAUGCUCCCCCCACCAAAUGAUUUUAUAACAGUUUUUCAUUUCUGAGGAGGAUCAAAAUUUCUUCAUUUUUUAAAUUUUUAUUUAUUUGCUUCUGAACCCACUUGAUUGACAUAUGAUUGAAAUUUAGAACAUGAAAGCAAAAACCCAGGCAGGUGGUGAUUCUCUCCAUGAACACUAUAAAUAAAAAUGAUUUACCCGAGGGCACCUGGCUGGCUCAGUAGGCAGAGCAUGCAACUCUUGAUCAUGAGGUUGUAAAUCUGAGUCUCACGUUGGGUGUAAGCAUUACUUAGAAGUAUUUUUAAGGUCGCCUGGGUGGUUCAGUCAGUUAAGCAUCCCGCUCUCGAUUUUGGCUCAGGUCAUGGCCUGACGUUCAUGAGUUCGAGCCCCGCAUCGGGCUCUGCACUGACAGUAUGGAGCCUGCUUGAAAUUCUCUCUCUCUUUCCCUGUCUCUCUGCUCCUCCCUGCAUCUCUCUCUCUGUCUCUCUCUCAAAAUAAAUAAAUAAACUAAACAAAAAUUUUUUUUUUAAUUUUUAAAAAAAUAAAUAAUUUACCCAUUAAGAAAUCUCUUUAUGAGGGGCACCUGAGUGACUCAGUCAGUUGAGCAUCCGACUUUGGCUCAGGUCAUGAUUUCACAGUUCACGGGUUCAAGCCCCACAUCGGGCUCUGUGCUGACAGUUCAGAGCCUGGAGCCUGCUUCUGAUUCUGUGUCUCCCUCUCUCUCUGCCCCUCCCCCACUUGCUCUCUCUCUCUCUUAAAAACAAAUAAAUAAAUAAAAAUUUUUUUUAAUUUAAUUAAAAGAAAGAAAGAAUUGGCUAGGUGUCAGCCUUCCCAUCCCAGUAUCUUCAUGGUCCUAGCACCUACCUGGGGAGAUCUCACCCGGCAUUGUACCAAACAUGAAAUACACCCACAUCCUGUAAUCACAUCAAUUAAUAGGUAUCUGUGUUACAUUAUAUGUGUCGGUUUUCACUGGUUAGUUGGCCUAUUUUGUCAGCAUUUGAUUAGUUGUAGUAAGUUUUGAGUGUAAAGGCAAUGCGUUUUCUUGAGGUCUCAAAUCUUUUUGUAGGCUUCUGCACAGCUCAUAGGACUAAGGGACCGCAUCUGCAGUACCUAAUGAAUUUUAAGUUGCAAGAAGUUUUAUUUACUUUAUCUUAGAGACAAAUGUCCCUGAAUUAAUCAAACUUACUUCUUUUUUUUUUUUUUUUUUUAGUGUUUAUUUAUUUUUGAGACAGAGAGAGACAGAGCACGAAUGGGGGAGGGGCAGAGAGAGAGGGAGACACAGAAUUGGAAGCAGGCUCCAGGCUCUGAGCCAUCAGCCCAGAGCCCGACUCGGGGGUCGAACUCACGAACCGCGAGAUCGUGACCUGAGCUGAAGUCGGAUGCCCAACCGACUGAGCCACCCAGGCGCCCCUCAAACUUACCUCUUAAAAAAACAGACAACAACAACAACAAAAAAACGGCUUUAUUGAGAUUUAAUUUCCAUACCAUUAAAGUGUACAAUUCAGGGCAUCUGGGUGGCUCAGCCAUUUAAGCAUCGGACUCUUGGUUUUGACUCAGGGCGUGAUCUCACGGUUUGUGACUUCCAGCCCCGAAUCGGGCUCUGUGCUGACAGCAAGGAGCCUGCUUGGGAUUCUCUCUCUCUCUCUCUCUCUCUCUCUCUCUCCCCACCCUUUCUCUCUGCCCCUCCCCUGCUCACACACACACACACACACACUCUCUCUCUCUCUCUCUCUCUCAAAAUAAAUUAGCUUAAAAAAAUAAAAAUAAAGUGUACAAUUCAAUGGUCUUUAGUGCAUUUACAGACUUACGCAAUCAUCAGCACUAUCUAAUUUUAGAACAUUUCAUCACUCCAGAUAGAAACCUUGUGCCCACUUAACGUCACUCCCCCAUCCUUCCCCUAAUCCCUGGCCACCACACAACUACUUUCUUGUCUCUAUAGAUUUGUCUUUUCUAGACUUUUCGUAUAAAUGGAAUCGUAUAAUAUGUGGUCUUUGUGAUUGACUUCUUUCAACGUAGUCUAAUGUUUUUGAGGUUUAUCCAUGCAGUAGCAUGUAUGUAUCAGUAUUUCAUUCAUUUUUAUUACUGAUUAAGUACUACUUAGUAUGGAUGGAACACAUUUCAUUAUCCAUUCACCAGCGGCUGAGCACUUGGGUUGUUUACACUUUGGGGCUAUUGUAAGCCAUGCAGCUGUGAACAUUUUGUGCAAGUCUUUGUGUGGAUAUAUAUUUUUGUUUACCCAGGAAUGGAACUGCUGGGUCAUGUGAGAACAUUUAGGGAAAUUGCCAAACCGUUUUCCACAGUGAUUGCACCAUUUUACGUUCCUGCCAGCAGUGAAUGAGGGUUCCACUUUCUCUACGUUCUCACCAACACUUGUGGUUCUCUUUUUUUAUUCCAGCCAUUCUGGUGGGUAUAGAGUAGUAGAUCAUUUUGGGUGGUUCUUUUUUUUUUUUUUUUUUUAAGUUUAUUUAUUUUGAGAGAGAGAGAGAGAGAUUGUGCACACGUGCAGACUCUCACACGGGGAAGGAGGGAGGGGGAGGGGGAAGGGCGCAGAGAAUCCAAAGAAAGCUCUGUACUCCUGGGGCUCAAGCUCAGGAACCCUGAGAUCCAGACCUGAGCUGAAACCAAGAGUCAGAUGCUUAACCGACUGACUGAACCGCCCUGGUGUCCAUCAUUUUGGUUUUGCUCUGCAUUUCCCUAAUGAUUAGUGAUGUCAAACAUCUUUUCAUGUGUUUAUUGGCCAUUCGUGUAUCUUCUUUGAGAAAUAUUUAUUCAAAUCCUUUGCCCAUUUAUUGUAUUUCAUUUCAUUUCAUUUCAUUUCAUUUUUUUUUUAUUAAAUUUUUUUUUUUAACGUCUAUUUAUUUUUGAGACAGAGAGAGACAGAGCAUGAACGGGGGAGGGUCAGAGAGAGGGAGACACAGAAUCUGAAACAGGCUCCAGGCUCUGAGCUGUCAGCACAGAGCCCGACGCGGGGCUCGAACUCACGGACCGUGAGAUCAUGACCUGAGCCGAAGUCAGCCGCUUAACCGACUGAGCCACCCAGGCGCCCCAUUUCAUUUCAUUUUUAAUUUGAGAGAGAGUGUGAGCAGGGGAGAGGGGCAGAGAGAAAGGGAGAGAAUCUUAAGCAGGCUCCACACUCAGCAUGGAGCCCAAUUCGGGGCUCAAUGCUACAACCCUGGGAUCAUGGCUUGAGCCAAAAUCAAGAGUUGGACACUCAACCGAUUGAGCCACCCAGGUUCCCCUGCCCAUUUUUAUUUUUUAAGAUUUUAGUUUUAAGUAAUUUCUACACCCAACAUGGGGCUCGAGCCCACCACCCCAAGAUCAAGAGUCCCAUGCUCCACCAACUGAGCCAGCCAUGUGCCCCCGAAUUCUUCCUUUUAUUGUUUGUGCUUUUGGUGUCGUAUCUAAGAAAUCAUUCCCCAAGCCAGGAUCAUGAAGAUUUAUUCCUAUGUUUUAUUCUAAGAGUAUUAUAAUUUGGGGGUUGCCUGGCUGCCUCAGUCAGUGGAACAGUCAACACCUGAUCUCGGGCUUGUGAGCUUAAGCCCUGCGUUGGGUGUAGAGAUUACUUGAAAAUACGAUCUUUAAAAAAGAGAGAAAGAAUUUUAGCAUUUUACCCUUCUAUGAUCCAGUGUGAGUGAGUGUUUGUGCAUGGUGUCAGAUAGGAGUUCAAUUUAAUUCUUUUACAGGUAGGUAUUGAGUUGUUGGAGCAGCAUUUGUUGAAAAGACUACCCUUCCUGGGGCGCCUGGGUGGCUCAGUCAGUUAAGCAUCUGACUUCGGCUCAGGUCAUGACCUCGCCAUCCGUGAGUUCGAGCCCCGUGUCGGGCUGUGCUGAUGGUUCAGUGCCUGGAGCCUGUUUCGGAUUCUGUGUCUCCCUCUCUCUCUGACCCUCCCCCGUUUAUGCUCUGUCUCUCUCUCUCAAAAAUAAAUAAAUGUUAAAAAAAAUAAAAAAAAUAAAAAAAGAAAAGAAAAGACUAUCCUUC